GAUUGAACGCUGGCGGCAUGCCUUACACAUGCAAGUCGAACGUGAAAGCGGGGCAACCCGCAAGUAGAGUGGCGGACGGGUGAGUAAUACAUCGGAACGUGUCCAGUAAUGGGGGAUAACCUAGCGAAAGUUAGGCUAAUACCGCAUACGAUCUGCGGAUGAAAGCGGGGAUGCGGCACUAAAGGCUUUUGGCGAAGGUGGCCAAAGGUGAGUCAAGAGCUUUUAGUGCUGCACCUCGCGUUAUUGGAGCGGCUGAUGUCUGAUUGCUAGUUGGUGAGGUAAAGGCUUACCAAGGCGACGAUCAGUAGCUGGUCUGAGAGGACGGCCAGCCACAC
rnacentral:rRNA from 1 species